rnacentral:misc_RNA from 1 species
UCUUGGGGUAGACAGGCAUGUGCUGGGAUGGCAUGCCAAGGCAUGUGCUGGGAUGGCAUGCCUUGGCGUGUGCUGGGAUGGCAUGCCAAGGACAAGCAUGUGCUAGGAAGGCAUGCCAAGGCCAAGACAAGGCAAUGGCAAGCACAUGCAUUGCGAGCGAGACGAGAUGGUUACGUUUACCCAAGAGUGCCCAAGGGAGAGGAAAAGGUGUCAAACGCAUGCUGAGCCCCACUUCGGUAGUUUGGCACCCCCAUAGGCAUUCAGGCAAACAAGCCUAUGGGAGGAGUCUGUUGAGCUUGGUUGCCAUGUUGGGUAUUAUUCUAUGGAUGAGAUGAUGGCACAAGGAUGCUUGCUAGGUAACGUUUUGGCACCAGACCGCAAAUGCUACUUCAAGCUUCAGCGGGUGGAAUCUGCCUAUAGGGACGUUGCUUGCUUGCUGUGGAGUUGGGACACGCCCAAUAUCUAUCAUCGACCCAACGAAGUGCUCAACAUGGGUUGCCGAGGGCUAUUUUGGCACAGAUGGUUCACUUGUUUGCUUGGCUUUGAUAAACGUUUAGAUGUCAUGAUGCUUGGGAUCCAAUAAAUUUAUGUGGGAAGCUGAGAGCUGGAACCCAAUGUCAUUCACCAGACGGCUUAGCUUCGUCAGUGUGUAUAAUAUGUCAUUGAACCCCAAUCCUCGAUGCCAACCUGAUUAUGACUUUUGGAUCGCAAUUAGCAUGGCUAUCAAAAACUGAGUAGGAGUCAUGGAAUAAGUGAACAAUUUGUAGCCUUUAUAGCUCUUAGCUUUCGCAUCGCCCGGUGUGUUUUGGGAAUCGCUUUGUUCAUUUGGUUGCCUGCCGUACCUCUUGGCAUACGGUGGGUGCCACUUGCCGGGUGGUUUUCGGAAACAUCCACCGUAAAGGUGCAUGAGUGGUGUUUGGUUUGUUACGGGUGGUUGGCUCUUUGCUUGUGCAACAACUGCCACCCGACUUACCUCUUCAGAUGUUUGCCUAGGCUUGUAUGGCCUAAGCAGAUUGUGGGUUUCCUGUGUUGCCUACCUACAUCAUGGAAUUGUCCGGAUCGAUCAAAGUUGCUUUCGUCUUGUGUCGUCUUGAUGGCAUAAGAUGAACCAUGAAGCUGUCUCUUUGCACCGCAUCGUUAAUGCAUGCAUUGAUGUUGUGGCCCAUUGAGCAUUGCUUGGUACCUUGGAUACGGAACCUUAUGUGGGCAUGGGUCCUCAGGGAUCCUUUCUGCCCUCGUUUAGCGUUCGCGCUUCUCUUAGAAUGACUGCCCAUCUGGAAUGGGAAGCCAUUCCGGAUGGGCAUU